CCUACGGGUGGCUGCAGUGGGGAAUAUUGGACAAUGGGGGGAACCCUGAUCCAGCCAUGCCGCGUGUGUGAAGAAGGCCCUCGGGUUGUAAAGCACUUUCAGUGAGGAAGAACGCCUGGUGGUUAAUACCCAUCAGGAAAGACAUCACUCACAGAAGAAGCACCGGCUAACUCCGUGCCAGCAGCCGCGGUAAUACGGAGGGUGCGAGCGUUGAUCGGAAUUACUGGGCGUAAAGCGCGCGUAGGUGGCUUGAUAAGCCGGUUGUGAAAGCCCCGGGCUCAACCUGGGAACGGCAUCCGGAACUGUCAAGCUAGAGUGCAGGAGAGGAAGGUAGAAUUCCCGGUGUAGCGGUGAAAUGCGUAGAGAUCGGGAGGAAUACCAGUGGCGAAGGCGGCCUUCUGGACUGACACUGACACUGAGGUGCGAAAGCGUGGGUAGCAAACAGGAUUAGAUACCCCUGUAGUC
rnacentral:rRNA from 1 species